rnacentral:SRP_RNA from 1 species
GCUGUGCGCUGUGGCUCGUGCCUGUAGUACCAGCUACUCGGGAGGUGGAGGUAGGAAGACAGCUUGAGUACAGGAAUUCUGGGCUGUAGUGCGCUAUGCCAAUUGAGUGUCUGCAUUAAGUUCGGAAUCAAUAUGGUGACCUCCCAGGAGCGUGGGACCACUAGGUUGCCUAGGGAGAAGUGAAUCAGCCCAGGUGGUAAACGGAACAGGUUAAAACUCCCGUGCUGAUCAAUAGUGGAAUCGCAUCUGUGAAUAGCCACUGCACUCCAGCCUGGGCAAUGUAAUAAGACCCUGUCUCUG